rnacentral:tRNA from 1 species
UCGGAGGUCGUCUAACGGUAGGACGUUAGGUUCUGGCCCUAAAAAUUGGGGUUCGAGUCCCUGCCUCCGAGCCA